GGGGUAAUAGCUCAGUAGUAGAGUGCAUGCUUAGCAUGCAUGAGGUCCUGGGUUCAAUCCCCAGUACCUCCA
rnacentral:tRNA from 1 species